rnacentral:rRNA from 1 species
GAUGAACGCUGGCGGCGUGCCUAAUACAUGCAAGUCGAGCGAACGGACGAGAAGCUUGCUUCUCUGAUGUUAGCGGCGGACGGGUGAGUAACACGUGGAUAACCUACCUAUAAGACUGGGAUAACUUCGGGAAACCGUAGCUAAUACCGGAUAAUAUUUUGAACCGCAUGGUUCAAAAGUGAAAGACGGUCUUGCUGUCACUUAUAGAUGGAUCCGCGCUGCAUUAGCUAGUUGGUAAGGUAACGGCUUACCAAGGCAACGAUGCAUAGCCGACCUGAGAGGGUGAUCGGCCACACUGGAACUGAGACACGGUCCAGACUCCUACGGGAGGCAGCAGUAGGGAAUCUUCCGCGAUGGGCGAAUGCCUGACGGAGCAACGCCGCGUGAGUGAUGAAGGUCUUCGGAUCGUAAAACUCUGUUAUUAGGGAAGAACAUAUGUGUAAGUAACUGUGCACAUCUUGACGGUACCUAAUCAGAAAGCCACGGCUAACUACGUG